CGGCGCACCUCCGCGGUCAUCCCCUUCGACCCGAGCGAAUCGAGAGAACGUCGCGUCAGCAACGGCCCGCAGGGAGAGCCACGCAGUCGCGAGUAAUCCUCUAUCACCGACCA
rnacentral:sRNA from 1 species